GUGUCAGCAGCCGCGGUAAUACGAAGGGUGCAAGCGUUAUUCGGAAUGAUUGGGCGUAAAGGGUGCGUAGACGGUAUGUUAAGUCAACUGUUAAAUUUCCCAGCCUAACUGGGAGCAAGCAGUAGAAACUGGCGUACUAGAGGGUGGAAGAGAGAAGUGGAAUUCUCGGAGUAGCGGUAAAAUGCGUAGAUCUCGAGAGGAACACCAAUGGCGAAGGCAGCUUCUUGGUCCAUUUCUGACGUUCAUGCACGAAAGCGUGGGGAGCAAACAGGAUUAGAUACCCUGGUAGUCCACGCCGUAAACGAUGAUCACUAGACGUUAAUCGCGCUUGCGUGAUUAGUGUCGUAGCUAACGCGUUAAGUGAUCCGCCUGGGAAGUACGGUCGCAAGAUUAAA
rnacentral:rRNA from 1 species